rnacentral:rRNA from 1 species
UACGAAGGGGGCUAGCGUUGCUCGGAUUGACUGGGCGUAAAGGGCGCGUAGGCGGUUCGUACAGUCAGACGUGAAAUUCCUGGGCUCAACCUGGGGACUGCGCUUGAGACGUGUGGGCUUGAGUGGGGAAGAGGGUCGUGGAAUUCCCAGUGUAGAGGUGAAAUUCGUAGAUAUUGGGAAGAACACCGGUGGCGAAGGCGGCGACCUGGUCCUUGACUGACGCUGGAGGCGCGAAAGCGUGGGGAGCAAACAGG